GCCGUAGCUCAGAGGCUGAGCGUUGGCCUUGCAAGCAGAAGCUCUCAGGUUCAAUCCCCGCUGGGACCG